rnacentral:rRNA from 1 species
AGUCACUGCUAUUGGGAUUCGGCUAAGCCAUGCAAGCGGAGGGCGCGGUCGAAAGAUCGUGGCCCCACACACUGCUCAGUAACACGUAGUCAACCUACCCUUGGGACGGGGACAACCUCGGGAAACUGAGGCUAAUCCCCGAUAGGUGAGGGACGCUGGAAUGCCUCCUCGCCCAAAGCUCCGGCGCCCAAGGAUGGGACUGCGGUCUAUCAGGCUGUUGGUGGUGUAACGGACCACCAAACCUACGACGGGUACGGGCGUUGGGAGUCGGAGCCCGGAGAUGGGGACUGAGACAAGGCCCCAGGCCCUACGGGGCGCAGCAGGCGCGAAAACUCCGCAAUGCGCGCAAGCGUGACGGGGGAAUCCCAAGUGCCGUUGGUCCUAUGAUCGACGGUUUUUAGGAAGUCUAAGAAGCUUCCAGAAUAAGGGCUGGGCAAGACUGGUGCCAGCCGCCGCGGUAACACCAGCAGCCCAAGUGGUGACCACGAUUAUUGGGCCUAAAGCGCUCGUAGCCGGAUCAGCAAGUCCCUUGUGAAAUCGGGCCGCCUAACGGUUCGGCGUGCAAGGGAUACUGUUGGUCUUGAGGCCGGGAGAGGUCGGAGGUACUCCUGGGGUAGCGGUGAAAUGCUCUAAUCCUAGGGGGACCACCAGUGGCGAAGGCGUCCGACCAGAACGGACCUGACGGUGAGGGGCGAAGGCUAGGGGAGCGAACGGGAUUAGAUACCCCGGUAGUCCUAGCUGUAAAGCAUGCGGGCCAGGUGUCUAGCGCUCCUUGAGGGCGCUAGGUGCCGGAGGGAAGCCGUUAAGCCCGCCGCCUGGGAAGUACGGCCGCAAGGCUGAAACUUAAAGAAAUUGGCGGGGGAGCACCACAAGAGGUGGGACCUGCGGUUC